UACGUAGGGGGCUAGCGUUGUCCGGAAUCAUUGGGCGUAAAGAGCGUGUAGGCGGCCCGGUAAGUCCGCUGUGAAAGUCGGGGGCUCAACCCUCGGAUGCCGGUGGAUACUGUCGGGCUCGAGUACGGAAGAGGCGAGUGGAAUUCCUGGUGUAGCGGUGAAAUGCGCAGAUAUCAGGAGGAACACCAAUUGCGAAGGCAGCUCGCUGGGACGUAACUGACGCUGGAGACGCGAAAGCGUGGGGAGCAAACAGG
rnacentral:rRNA from 1 species